CGAAGUAGCUCAGGGGUAGAGCAACUGAUUCGUAAUCAGUAGGUCGGAGGUUCAAUUCCUCUCUUCGGC
rnacentral:tRNA from 1 species